rnacentral:rRNA from 1 species
CCUACGGGAGGCAGCAGUGAGGAAUAUUGGUCAAUGGUCGGGAGACUGAACCAGCCAAGCCGCGUGAGGGAUGAAGGUACAGAGUAUCGUAAACCUCUUUUGUCAGGGAACAAAGGCGGGGAUGUGUCCCCGGAUGAGUGUACCUGAAGAAAAAGCAUCGGCUAACUCCGUGCCAGCAGCCGCGGUAAUACGGAGGAUGCGAGCGUUAUCCGGAUUUAUUGGGUUAAAAGGGUGCGCAGGCGGUCUGUUAAGUCAGCGGUCAAAGCCCGGGGCUCAACCCCGGCCCGCCGUUGAAACUGGCAGUCUCGAGUUGGAGAGAAGUAUGCGGAAUGCGCGGUGUAGCGGUGAAAGGCAUAGAUAUCGCGCAGAACUCCGAUUGCGAAGGCAGCAUGCCGGCUCCACACUGACGCUGAGGCACGAAAGCGUGGGUAUCGAACAGGAUUAGAUACCCUAGUAGUC